UACGUAGGGUGCGAGCGUUAAUCGGAAUUACUGGGCGUAAAGCGCACGUAGGCGGCGCAGCAAGUUGGGGGUGAAAUCCCGAGGCUCAACCUCGGAAUUGCCUUCAAAACUGCUGUGCUCGAGUUCGGAAGAGGUGAGUGGAAUUCCCAGUGUAGAGGUGAAAUUCGUAGAGAUUGGGAAGAACACCAGUGGCGAAGGCGGCUCACUGGUCCGCAACUGACGCUGAGGUGCGAAAGCGUGGGGAGCAAACAGG
rnacentral:rRNA from 1 species